rnacentral:rRNA from 1 species
CCUACGGGCGGCUGCAGUGGGGAAUAUUGGACAAUGGGGGCAACCCUGAUCCAGCCAUGCCGCGUGUGUGAAGAAGGCCCUCGGGUUGUAAAGCACUUUCAGUGAGGAAGAACGCCUGGUGGUUAAUACCCAUCAGGAAAGACAUCACUCACAGAAGAAGCACCGGCUAACUCCGUGCCAGCAGCCGCGGUAAUACGGAGGGUGCGAGCGUUAAUCGGAAUUACUGGGCGUAAAGCGCGCGUAGGUGGCUUGAUAAGCCGGUUGUGAAAGCCCCGGGCUCAACCUGGGAACGGCGUCCGGAACUGUCAAGCUAGAGUGCAGGAGAGGAAGGUAGAAUUCCCGGUGUAGCGGUGAAAUGCGUAGAGAUCGGGAGGAAUACCAGUGGCGAAGGCGGCCUUCUGGACUGACACUGACACUGAGGUGCGAAAGCGUGGGUAGCAAACAGGAUUAGAUACCCCAGUAGUC